CCCUUAGAUGUUCUGGGCCGCACGCGUGCUACACUGAUGCAUUCAACGAGUCUAAAACCUGGUCUGAUAGGGCUGGGUAAUCUUUUGAAAGUGCAUCGUGAUUGGGAUAGAUGAUUGCAAUUCUUCAUCUUCAACGAGGAAUGCCUAGUAAACGCAAGUCAUCAGCUUGCAUUGAUUACGUCCCUGCCCUUUGUACACACCGCCCGCCGCUCCUACCGAUUGAAUGAUCCGAUGAAUACCAUGGAUUGAGAGUACGAAUAGGUUCGCUUAUUUCUGCUGCUCGAGAAGUGGAGUAAAUCUUAUCAUUUAGAGGAAGGAGAAGUCGUAACA
rnacentral:rRNA from 1 species